UUUUAAAGUAUCUUUCAGCUUCCAAAUUUCAUUGCAUAAUCCUUAGGGAAUACUUAAGACCACUAAUGUAACAUCCUUAGGAAAAAAUUAGUUU